rnacentral:rRNA from 1 species
AUUGAACGCUGGCGGCAGGCCUAACACAUGCAAGUCGAACGGUAACAGGAAGCAGCUUGCUGCUUCGCUGACGAGUGGCGGACGGGUGAGUAAUGUCUGGGAAGCUGCCUGAUGGAGGGGGAUAACUACUGGAAACGGUAGCUAAUACCGCAUAAUGUCGCAGGACCAAAGAGGGGGACCUUCGGGCCUCUUGCCAUCGGAUGUGCCCAGAUGGGAUUAGCUUGUUGGUGGGGUAACGGCUCACCAAGGCGACGAUCCCUAGCUGGUCUGAGAGGAUGACCAGCCACACUGGAACUGAGACACGGUCCAGACUCCUACGGGAGGCAGCAGUGGGGAAUAUUGCACAAUGGGCGCAAGCCUGAUGCAGCCAUGCCGCGUGUAUGAAGAAGGCCUUCGGGUUGUAAAGUACUUUCAGCGGGGAGGAAGGGAGUAAAGUUAAGACCUUUGCUCAUUGACGUUACCCGCAGAAGAAGCACCGGCGAACUCCGU